CCCUUAGAUGUUCUGGGCCGCACGCGCGCUCCACUGACGAUGGCAACGAGUUUUUCCUUCGCCGAAAGGUGUGGGUAAUCUUUUGAAACAUCGUCGUGCUGGGGAUAGAUCAUUGCAAUUUUUGAUCUUGAACGAGGAAUUCCUAGUAAGCGCGAGUCAUCAGCUCGCGUUGAUUACGUCCCUGCCCUUUGUACACACCGCCCGUCGCUACUACCGAUUGAAUGGUUUAGUGAGGACUCCUGAUUGGCGCCGCCGCCCCGGCAACGGAGCAGCGGACUGCCGAAAAGUUGUUCAAACUUGAUCAUUUAGAGGAAGUAAAAGUCGUAACA
rnacentral:rRNA from 1 species